UAUGUGAUCGUCUCUCGCAUAUCAAUAAGCGGAGGAAAAGAAACUAACAAGGAUUCCCCUAGUAACGGCGAGUGAAGCGGGAAGAGCUCAAAUUUGAAAUCUUAAAGGGUUUCCCUUUACGAAUUGUAGUUUAAAGAAGUGUUUUCUGUUGAGGUUUUGGUAAAAGUUCUUUGGAAUAGGACAUCAUAGAGGGUGAGAAUCCCGUAUUUGACCUUUACUUUCAACUUUGUGAUACACUUUCAAAGAGUCGGAUUGUUUGGGAAUGCAGUCCAAAAUGGGUGGUAAAUUUCAUCUAAAGCUAAAUAUUGGCGAGAGACUGAUAGCGAACAAGUACCGUGAGGGAAAGAUGAAAAGAACUUUGAAAAGAGAGUUAAACAGUACGUGAAAUUGUCAAAAGGGAAGCGUUUGACACCAGUGUUGUUUUUCUGAAAAUCAAUUAAAGAACUGUUUAUGCUAAGCUUGUUUAGACUUUAUCAGCUAUCUGCUUAGUUUUGAGCUUUUCUUUAAUGCACUUUUCAGUUAACAAGUCAACAUCAAUUUCUUUUGCUGUAAAAAAGCUUGAGGAAGGUGGCUUGAGAUUCGUCUUAAGUGUUUAUAGCCUCUUGCCUAUGCAGUCGGAGAGAUUGAGGUCUGCAGCGUAGAUCCUUCGGGGCUAAAUGCAUUUGUGCUAAGUUAUAGCAUUUUAUAGACAACUUGUUGACUAUGAUUUGUCUGUAGCUUACUCGCUUAUGUUAUUUUACCUACGCUUAGGAUGUUGAGUAGCGACAUACGCA
rnacentral:rRNA from 1 species